CUUCUUACUAAGCCCCUGUAGUUGGUCUCUCUUCUACUACUGAUAAUAGAUGGGGUCCCGGACUGAGUAUAGAAAGGAGGAUCUGUAGCAGCCGACAGUCCCAGUCACAAGUGUAAAAGAUGGAAAAGAUGAAGAAGUGGGAAAAUAUCCACAUUGGCUGCCAAAGUUGGGAAAACCCUCCUGAAGGAAUAACCAGGGAAACUUCUGGAAGACCUGCAUAUAUCAAGCAAUAUAGCCUUUCAACCCAGGG